GGAGGGCGCGAGCGUUGUUCGGAAUCAUUGGGCGUAAAGCGCGUGUAGGCGGCUUGGUAAGUCGAGUGUGAAAGCCCGGGGCUCAACCCCGGAAGGUCGCUCGAAACUGCCUCGCUAGAGUCCCGGAGAGGAAGGCGGAAUUCCCGGUGUAGAGGUGAAAUUCGUAGAUAUCGGGAGGAACACCAGCGGCGAAGGCGGCCUUCUGGACGGUGACUGACGCUGAGACGCGAAAGCGUGGGGAGCAAACAGGAUUAGAUACCCUGGUAGUCCACGCCGUAAACGUUGGGUGCUAGGUGUCGCGGGUAUUGACCCCUGCGGUGCCGCCGCUAACGCAUUAAGCACCCCGCCUGGGGAGUACGGUCGCAAGGCUA
rnacentral:rRNA from 1 species